ACGUGAGACUGAUCUGGCUGUGAUAUUUUUCACCCCAUUGAUAUCUUUUACCCCAUUGGGUUGAUUGGCUGAUCUGGCUGGUUAGGCAGAUGUCCCCUACCUCCCUCACCACUCCAUGUGCAUCCCUCCCAAAACUCUACAUUUGGUGGAAGAGGAUGACCAUUCAUGUUAGGACUGUAAUGAUCUUCAGUCAAGGAUCCACGAUAGCUGCUUUCCCCUGCUUAGAACCUCCAAACAAGCUUCCCUUGAAAUCUCUGAUUCCUUUUCAUUUCUUUACAUUGUGUUUUUAAAUUAAGAACUGAUAUUUCUUU
rnacentral:snRNA from 1 species